rnacentral:lncRNA from 1 species
CAGCAACCCUGAAAAAUGUACCGUCUGAAACUGACAAAGAUUGGCAACACACGUCAGCUCAGGUGCCAAUAUUGCAAAGAAAACACACACACACACAAACACAGACACUGAGGGACGUGGAGACCUGGGGAAAAAGCAACACUGAGAAAUCUACCCUCUGAAACUGACGAAUAUGGGCAACAGAGGCUAGCUCAGGUUCAAUAUUUGAGCAAAAAAUACCACACAAGGGCGUGGAGACCCUGGGAAAGAGCAACACUGAGAAAUCUACCCUCUGAAACUGACCAUGGUCGUCAACAGAGGCUAGCUCAGGUUCAAUCUUUGAUCAAAAAGAACACACAAGGGCGUGGAGAACUUGGGAAAGAGCAACACGGAGAAAUCUACCCUCUGAAACUGACAAGGAUUGGCAACACACGUCAGCUCAGGUGCCAACCAUUAGGCAGAAAAAAAAGACACAAGGGCGUCGAGAUCUGGCGAAACAGCAACACUGAGAAAUCCGCCAUCUUAAACUGAGGAAGCAGGGCAACAGAGGCUAGCUCAGGGGACAAUCGUAAAGCAAAACAAACA